AUUAAACUUCACCAAUAUAAGCGGCGUUCCUAAUAUUUUCCCCCUUUUGCUUUCUCAAAGAUUCUGCUUCAGACGAUUUCUUUGGCAACCUAUCUGUGUGAUAAAAUUUGGUGGUUUGAAGAGAGAGAUUGUGAUAGCAAGAUGAAAAAAGUUGGUAAGUUGAAGAAGCCCCCAAAAGUAGAAGACGUUGCAGAACAGGAAAAGAAGGUCUCUAACCAGAAAGGGAAAAGGAAGGGAAGUGAGAUUGAUGAAAUUUUUGCUGCAAAUAAACGCAAGAGAGUGGAAUCGGAGAAGAAGGCUGAGGCCGAAACCAAAGCCAAAGCCAAAUCCAAAGUAGCUGCUGCCAAUUUUAAAAAGAAGGAAAAGAGUAUGAAGAGCCACUCCUUCGAAUUUUCAGCCGGCACUUCUGGACCGAGGAAGAGGACUGCCGAUGGGCUGGCUGUGUUUUCAGAGGAAGAGCUGGGCAUAGGGAAGCCAGAUGCAGGAGGAACUGCUUUGUGCCCUUUUGAUUGUGGCUGUUGUUUUUGAUGGAUGCUGAUCAAAAUUUGUUAGCUGCUUAAGUAUUUGCUGCUCAUGUAACUUUGAAUGCUAGAAGAUAGAUUGUUGUUAUACAUGAUUUCCAAAUUGAGUCAUCAUUUAUGUGUUUUAGUCUGGGAAAGUGGUGGACUAUGUUUUUUCUGCAAUGUUGAUGAUGCAUUAGCGUUGAUAGCCUUACCGAAACUGAAGGUGCUCGUUUGUAUGGAAUAACCGGCAGCCGUCUGCAGUCUAACUCUAAUUCAAUUGAUCUUUCUUGUUUAUGCAGCGACCAGUUCAUCGUUAACAUGAAUGCAGGUAUGCCUCGGUUGCAGAAGUUUAUAUUACAUGUAUUGGAUAACACUCAUCUUUUUGAAUUUGAGUGUUAAUGAUGCUUAUUGGAACACCUAGAGAAUCCCUGUCGAAGGGGGUUGAUUUGCUUGAAAGUAUCUGGUUACACAUGUCCAGUAAAUUUGUACUAUGAAUUACUUGUUUUUUUUUAAUGACUUUAUAAAAUAGAGUAAUAGCUUUACCAUAUUUCCUUUUGUUUUUAUCAAAGAUUAGUGCUAUGCUAUCAAGCAUGUCAUCUGUUGCCCCGUAGUUAUUCCUGAAACAAUUGAUUAUUUGAUGUUCCAAGAAGAUAAUAAUAACAGUACCGUAAGCAUGUUAAUUUUAUUGGGGAAAAACAUAGACGAAGAGUUGAGCAAUUUGCUACAAUGUUGUACCUUGGCAGUAUUGAGGAUUCAAAGAGGCUCUAUAUGUACACUAAUGGAGAUGUGAGUUCUUCAUUUACAACUUGGAACAUACAUUUUUGCAUUUAUUUAUUUUUUUAUGUUGUAAUUUAAUAAGGAGUAGUAUUUUUUUUCCGCCUUUUAUAUUGAAAAUCUUGUGAUAACUAUACAUCUCUGUUGCAGCUCACUCCUAGCAUGGCUAUCUAUCUAUGAUAUGAUGCAGUGUUUGAAAAGUCACUCACUGUGUGGAAUAUGCUGGUUUUCUACUUGCCUUGCCGCUGGUGAGAAGUGAUCUCCUUUACAAUUUCGGGUAAUCGUUUUGCCAUGCCGCUGCCAAGAGUUUCAUUACAAUGGAGCUGCCGGUGGUCAGGUUCAGUGUUUUGAUAUUUAAUUAAUAAAUUUUGUAAUUGGUUAAUUUUGGGGGAAAGGUAAAAAGUUGGCAGAAAUCUUAAAUUAAUAGUAGUAGUAGUAUUGAAAAGACGAAAAGUAAAAAGUUGAAAAGAUGGUAAGCCAAAAAACAGUGGUGGUAUGCCUUGAUUUUUUUAAAUGUUGGCUCAUAUUAAAAUACUAAUUAAAAUACUAAUAGAAAGGAUUUACGCACGCCCCAACAACGACCCUUCGCUGCUCCAACCGCCCUGGCGCGCCCCGCUCGGCUCACCCAUGUCGGGGCGAAGCCGGCCUCGACCCUGGUGAGCCCCGGGCGCGUUUUUGACAACACUGGUCAGGUUUGAUAAAUUAAUUUUUCUUGUAUCUCAAGCCUCAUUUUGUUCUUGCCACCAACUUAUAGCAUGUAUUUGAGAACACCUAUUUUCAGACAGAUGAUAUUUGUAAUGAGCUGCAAGAAUAAGAGGCUAUCUUUUCAAGGAGUUGGCUCAGAUUUUGGUCUUGUGCAAGAUUUAAAAGUCAGUGUGCAAAAGAUCAUGGUUUUGAAUAUGGUCUCAUUGAUCGGAUAGUUAGGCCACCCAGUGUUGUCAAAAACGCGCCCGGGGAGCACUCGGGCCGUGGGGCGCAGUCGGCGCGCCCAGGGCGGUGGGAGCAACUAAGGGGGUGCUGUUGGGGCGUGCGUGAAUCCGUUUUUAUGAAGAGGGUAAGCUUAAACUUAUUCCUUUCUAUUAGUAUUUUAGAGCAUCUCCAAUGGCGGACGUCCGGUCGGACAUCCGGUCGGACGUCGCGACGGGCGACCGGAACGUCCGCCAUUGUGGCGUUUAGGGUCGGAUACGGACGU